UGAAAAUCAUGUUCAUCGCCAUCUUCGUCUUUAGCUUUUGAAGCAGUCUUCUCAAGCAAACCUUUUCUUUUAUCACCUGA
rnacentral:sRNA from 1 species